AAAAAAAUGUGUAUGAUAAAUCGAUUUCAAGUACAAAAAUGCAAAGUAACUGUUGAUUUUGAUAUAAAUAUGUGAUAUUCAAAAGAAGGAAAAACAGUUAUUUUAAACGAAGGAUAGAUAAAGAUUGGACGGAUCAAGAUAAGAUGAAACACAUCGCUGCAUUUCUUGUAUUCAACAUUCUCCUGAGCGUAAGUGCUCCCACGAACGCCCAGUAUGGUUUUGGAUCUUUACUCGGACUUGGGGUUGGUUUAUAUGCAGGAAGGUACCUAAGUCGUGGAUUAUUUGGAUAUCCCGGCUACGGAUACGGCUAUCCCGGUUAUGGAUACGGCUAUCGCGGUUAUGGAUACGGUUAUCCCAGCUAUGGAUAUGGCUACCCUGGAUAUGGAUACGGAUAUCGACGUUACGGACUUUUUUACUAAGUUUACUACUUCUCCCCCAGAAGACCAUUCAGAUAAAAACAUUUACAGAUACACAUGUGUUAAUGUUACAUGCAUGCAGUCUACAUGUCACGUCUUUCAAUGAAUAAAAUACAAAAUCUUA
rnacentral:lncRNA from 1 species